rnacentral:rRNA from 1 species
AUUGAACGCUGGCGGCAGGCCUCACACAUGCAAGUCGAGCGAGCGGCGGACGGGUGAGUAAUGUAUGGGGAUCUGCCUGAUGGAGGGGGAUAACUACUGGAAACGGUAGCUAAUACCGCAUACCAUCAGCUUAACCCAUAUGGGAUUAGCUUGUAGGUGGGGUAACGGGUCACCUAGGCGACGAUCCCUAGCUGGUCUGAGAGGAUGAUCAGCCACACUGGGACUGAGACACGGCCCAGACUCCUACGGGAGGCAGCAGUGGGGAAUAUUGCACAAUGGGCGCAAGCCUGAUGCAGCCAUGCCGCGUGUAUGAAGAAGGCCUUCGGGUUGUAAAGUACUUUCAGUCGGGAGGCGUUACCGGCAGAAGAAGCACCGGCUAACUCCGUGCCAGCAGCCGCGGUAAUUC